UACGGAGGGUGCGAGCGUUGUCCGGAAUCAUUGGGCGUAAAGGGUGCGUAGGUGGUGAGGUAAGUCGGAUGUGAAAUCUCCGGGCUCAACCCGGAAAUGGCAUUGGAAACUACCUUGCUGGAGGAUUUGAGGGGGGAUUGGAAUACUUGGUGUAGCAGUGAAAUGCGUAGAUAUCAAGUGGAACACCAGUGGCGAAGGCGAAUCCCUGGAAAAUACCUGACACUGAGGCACGAAAGCUAGGGGAGCAAACAGG
rnacentral:rRNA from 1 species